rnacentral:rRNA from 1 species
AUUGAACGCUGGCGGAAUGCUUUACACAUGCAAGUCGAACGGCAGCACGGACUUCGGCCUGGUGGCGAGUGGCGAACGGGUGAGUAAUGUAUCGGAACGUGCCCAGUCGUGGGGGAUAACGUAGUGAAAAUUACGCUAAUACCGCAUACGAUCUAUGGAUGAAAGCGGGGGAUCGCAAGACCUCGCGCGAUUGGAGCGGCCGAUAUCAGAGUAGGUAGUUGGUGGGGUAAAGGCUCACCAAGCCAACGAUCUGUAGCUGGUCUGAGAGGACGACCAGCCACACUGGAACUGAGACACGGUCCAGACUCCUACGGGAGGCAGCAGUGGGGAAUUUUGGACAAUGGGCGAAAGCCUGAUCCAGCCAUUCCGCGUGCAGGAUGAAGGCCCUCGGGUUGUAAACUGCUUUUGUACAGAACGAAAAGGUUUCUACUAAUACUAGGAGCUCAUGACGGUACUGUAAGAAUAAGCACCGGCUAACUACGUGCCAGCAGCCGCCGUAA